rnacentral:rRNA from 1 species
GACGAACGCUGGCGGCGUGCUUAAUACAUGCAAGUCGAACGGAAAGGCCCUGCUUUUGUGGGGUGCUCGAGUGGCGAACGGGUGAGUAACACGUGAGUAACCUGCCCUUGACUUUGGGAUAACUUCAGGAAACUGGGGCUAAUACCGGAUAGGAGCUCCUGCUGCAUGGUGGGGGUUGGAAAGUUUCGGCGGUUGGGGAUGGACUCGCGGCUUAUCAGCUUGUUGGUGGGGUAGUGGCUUACCAAGGCUUUGACGGGUAGCCGGCCUGAGAGGGUGACCGGCCACAUUGGGACUGAGAUACGGCCCAGACUCCUACGGGAGGCAGCAGUGGGGAAUAUUGCACAAUGGGCGGAAGCCUGAUGCAGCAACGCCGCGUGCGGGAUGACGGCCUUCGGGUUGUAAACCGCUUUCGCCUGUGACGAAGCGUGAGUGACGGUAAUGGGUAAAGAAGCACCGGCGAACUACGU